GAAGGCAAUGGCACUCCACUCCAGUACUCUUGCCUGGAAAAUCCCAUGAACGGAGGAGCCUGGUAGGCUGCAGUCCAUGGGGUCACGAAGAGUCGGACACGACUGAGCGACUUCCCUAUGGGCAUAUAAAUGUUCAGAGAUCCUUCCUUUUAUGAGCAGGGGAGCUUCAGAAGCCCGUCUUGAUGAUUCCUUAGAGCAACAGCAGUGCUGACGGGUGAUCUAGUGACACUCAUGGGGAGAGAUACUGGAUGGAUGAAAUGUCUCAAGAAACCUAGAAAUGCACAGCUUUUCCUGGAAUUCAAAGGGCGCCAGUAUUUGCUCUAGGAUCAUGAAUUUAAAAACUUCCUCUGCCUCUGCUGCUGCUAAGUCGCUUCAAUCGUGUCUGACUCUGUGCGACCCCAUAGACGGCAGCCCACUAGGCUGCUCUGUCCCUGGGAUUCUCCAGGCAAGAGUACGGGAGGGGGUUGCCAUUGCCUUCUAAAAUGCAUGAAAGUGAAAAGUGAAAGUGAAGUCGCUCAGUUGUGCCCAACGCCUAGCCUCACUUCACUCUUAAUCUUGGUUCUUCCCUGACCAAUGCUACUUCCCGAAUAUCUAAAUACAGCCCUUUUUCCAGCUAAACCCUUCAGUGACUUCCCACUGCUGUUAGUUGGUGCCUUUGCUGCUCAGGUGUCUCACAUGACCAUGUCAGCCUGUACCCUGCAUCCUGGCCCCACCUUCCCCAUACCUAUCCAUACCCCCACCCCUUUACCUUCAAGCUCUCAAAUAGUGAAUCAUCAUCUCCAUGUAGAAGAGUGAUCAAAGUUAUGUAGUCUUGGAGCUAGGAUGCCUGGUUCUAAUUCUAGCUCCAAUGCCUAUCAGCUGUGUGACCUCGGGCAAGUCAUUUGACCUCUCUAGGCCACAGGUGCCAUGUCUUUAACAAGAGGAUAAUAGAAGUGUUUACUGUAUAAGGUGAUUUUUUUGUAUAUUUUUAAAAUUUUAUUUAUUUUAAUUAGAGGCUAAUUACUUUAAAUAUUGUAUUGGUUUUCCCAUACAUCAACGUGAAUCUGCCACAGGUGUACACAUGUUCCCAAUCCUGAACCCCUCUCCCGCCAGUGUUAAAUACAUGAUGACCAUACAGUGCUUCCAACAAAAGGGUUGAUGGAUGCUGUGUGCUCAGAAAAGGUAAGUGGGAGGUAUUAUUCCCCUACUAUGCUUUGUUUUUCUUUGCACAUGCUGUUUGCUUUGUAUGAAUCUCUCUUUCUGCCCCAAUCCCUUAUUCUCUCAGUGGACUCAUCUUUUUGUUUUCUGUUGAGAUGUCUCCUCUCCCUGGAAUCCUUCCAAAUCCCAUAUCUGUGGGUUAAGUGUCUUUCUCUGGAUCCAAGAGGACUCUCAACUUUUUCCAUCACAGGUGUCAUCCCCAGUGUAUUAUUUAAUGUUUGUUUCAAGAUAAUUUUAUGUUCACACACUGCCACAAAAAAUAAUACACAAAGAUCCCCUGUGUCCUUUGCCCAGGUUUCCCCAGUGUCAAACUGUCGUCCCUACAGACUAGAACACUGACUCGAUAUGGUUCAAGAUACACAUUUCCAUCAUCACAAUUAUCCUUCCAGUUGCCUUUUUAUAGCCAUGAUCACUUACCUCCAGCUAUCACCACCACCUAACAUUUGGCAACCAUUCAGCUGUCAUCUGUCCUCCAUUUCUAUAAACAUGCCAUUUCUGAAGUGUCACAUGAGAGGAAUGACCAAGUACGUAACACUUUGGGUUUGAAGUUUUUCACUCAGGGUAGCUCUUCCUGAGAUUCAUCCACAUUGUUUCCUGGAUCAAUGAUUCCCAUGUUACUGAGUGGCAGAUGACACCACCCUUAUGGCAGAAAGUGAAGAGGAACUCAAAAGCCUCUUGAUGAAAGUGAAAGUGGAGAGUGAAAAAGUUGGCUUAAAGCUCAACAUUCAGAAAACGAAGA